rnacentral:rRNA from 1 species
GACAGAGGGGGCUAGCGUUGUUCGGAAUCACUGGGCGUAAAGGGCGCGUAGGCGGUCAUAUAAGUCAGAGGUGAAAGCCUGGAGCUUAACUUCAGAAUUGCCUUUGAUACUGUAUGACUAGAGUCCGAGAGAGGGUGGUGGAAUUCCCAGUGUAGCAGUGAAAUGCGUAGAUAUUGGGAGGAACACCGAUGGCGAAGGCAGCCACCUGGCUCGGUACUGACGCUGAGGCGCGAAAGCGUGGGGAGCAAACAGG